rnacentral:rRNA from 1 species
AGUGAACGCUGGCGGUAGGCCUAACACAUGCAAGUCGAACGGCAGCACAGUAAGAGCUUGCUCUUACGGGCGGCGCGCGGCGGACGAGUGAGGUAUACAUCGGAAUCUACUUUUUCGGGGGGGAUAACGCAGGGAAACUUACGCUAAUACCGCAUACGUCCUACGGGUGAAAGCAGGGGAUCUUCGGACCUUGCGCGAUUGAAUGAGCCGAUGUCGGAUUAGCUAGUUGGCGGGGUAAAGGCCCACCACGGCGACGAUCCGUAGCUGGUCUGAGGGGGUGGUCAGCCAGCUUGGAACUGAGACACGGUCCAGACUCUGACGGUGAGACGCAGUGGGGAAUAUUGCGCGAUGGAGGAGAGGCUGAUCCAGCACUACCGGGUGAGUGAAGAUCGCGUUCGGGUGGUAGAGCGCUUUUGUUGGGAGAGAAGAACAGCAGGUUAAUACCCCGCGGUACUGACGGUACCGGGAGAAUAAGCACCGGCUAACUUCGUG